GAGUUUGAUCUUGGCUCAGAUUGAACGCUGGCGGCAUGCCUUACACAUGCAAGUCGAACGGCAGCAUGAUCUAGCUUGCUAGAUUGAUGGCGAGUGGCGAACGGGUGAGUAAUACAUCGGAACGUGCCCUGUAGUGGGGAUAACUAGUCGAAAGAUUAGCUAAUACCGCAUACGACCUGAGGGUGAAAGUGGGGGACCGCAAGGCCUCAUGCUAUAGGAGCGGCCGGAUGUCUGAUUAGCUAGUUGGUGGGGU
rnacentral:rRNA from 1 species